rnacentral:rRNA from 1 species
UACGUAGGGGCCAAGCAUUGUCCGGAUUUAUUGGGCGUAAAGAGCUCGUAGGCGGUUUGGAUAGUCGGGUGUGAAAACUCCGAGCUCAACUCGGAGACGCCACCCGAUACUGCCAUGACUAGAGUCCGGUAGGGGAGCAGGGAAUUCCUGGUGUAGCGGUGAAAUGCGCAGAUAUCAGGAGGAACACCGGUGGCGAAGGCGCUGCUCUGGGCCGGUACUGACGCUGAGGAGCGAAAGCGUGGGUAGCAAACAGG